GAUGAAGAACGCAGCGAAAUGCGAUAAGUAGUGUGAAUUGCAGAAUUCAGUGAAUCAUCGAAUCUUUGAACGCACAUUGCGCCCCUUGGUAUCCCGAGGGGCAUGCCUGUUCGAGCGUCAUUUCACCACUCAAGCCUGGCUUGGUGUUGGGCGACGUCCCCUUUGGGGACGCGCCUCGAAGCGCUCGGCGGCGUGGCACCGGCUUUAAGCGUAGCAGAAUCUUUCGCUUUGGAAGUCGGGGCCCCGUCUGCCGGAAGACCUACUCGCAAGGUUGACCUCGGAUCAGGCAGGGAUACCCGCUGAACUUAAGCAUAUCAAUAAGCGGAGA
rnacentral:misc_RNA from 1 species